GAUCAUCAUCCGCUUCUUCUUCCUCGCUUGCACGCUCGGUGGCUAUCUUGGCUAUCAUAUUCAUGUGCUGCUCCCUUCCAUGCUCGGCGGCCAUCCGAGUUCAUAUGGGCGGAGACCCAUCCGGGCAGAGUCAUCCAGCGGUGCAUGGAAAGAUCACCCGCAGGCUCGGAGAACAUAUGGGAGUUGCUCCUCCGUCGCCCACGGGGCACAGCAACCCCAAUGCACACUGUUGUUAACUAGUGGUUGGGGCGCCCCAUGGAGCACCUCCUCACUGGUGCUUUGCGAUCCAAUCGAACAUCUAAUGACAAAUGGUUACCGGUCA